GAUGAACGCUGGCGGCGUGCUUAACACAUGCAAGUCGAACGAAGCAUUUAGAACGGAUUACUUCGGUUUGAAGUUCUUUAUGACUGAGUGGCGGACGGGUGAGUAACGCGUGGGUAACCUGCCUUGUACUGGGGGAUAGCAGCUGGAAACGGCUGGUAAUACCGCAUAAGCGCACAAUGUUGCAUGACAUGGUGUGAAAAACUCCGGUGGUAUAAGAUGGACCCGCGUCUGAUUAGCUAGUUGGUGAGAUAACAGCCCACCAAGGCGACGAUCAGUAGCCGACCUGAGAGGGUGACCGGCCACAUUGGGACUGAGACACGGCCCAGACUCCUACGGGAGGCAGCAGUGGGGAAUAUUGCACAAUGGAGGAAACUUUGAUGCAGCGACGCCGCGUAAGUGAAGAAGUAAUUCGUUAUGUAAAGCUCUAUCAGCAGGGAAGAUAGUGACGGUACCUGACUAAGAAGCUCCGGCUAAAUACGUGCCAGCCGCCGCAGUAA
rnacentral:rRNA from 1 species